rnacentral:tRNA from 1 species
ACUUUCAAAGGAUAACAGUCAUCCACUAGCCUUAGGAGCUAGGACACCUUGGUGCAACUCCAAGUGAAAGUA